rnacentral:rRNA from 1 species
AGUGAACGCUGGCGGUAGGCCUAACACAUGCAAGUCGAACGGCAGCACAGUAAGAGCUUGCUCUUACGGGUGGCGAGUGGCGGACGGGUGAGGAAUACAUCGGAAUCUACUUUUUCGUGGGGGAUAACGUAGGGAAACUUACGCUAAUACCGCAUACGACCUACGGGUGAAAGCAGGGGAUCUUCGGACCUUGCGCGAUUGAAUGAGCCGAUGUCGGACUAGCUAGUUUGCGGGGUAAAGGCCCACCAAGGCGACGAUCCGUAGCUGGUCUGAGAGGAUGAUCAGCCACACUGGAACUGAGACACGGUCCAGACUCCUACGGGAGGAAGCAGUGGGGAAUAUUGGACGAUGGGCGAAAGGCUGAUCCAGCCAUACCGCGUGGGUGAAGAAGGACUUCGGGUUGGAAAGCCCUUUUGUUGGGAAAGAAAAGCAGCAGGUUAAUACCCCGCUGUUCUGACGGUACCCAAAGAAGAAGCACCGGCUAACUUCGUG